UCCGAUCAGUCAACGAGUGAGCAUUUACUUGUUCUUUGGCCGAUCACUGCCCCUAUUACAAAAGGUGAUAUCGGCCUGUUCUGUAGACAAUUACCCAUGUCAUAGGGCCCUUACCCCCUCUCUUCAAUGAAAAUACAUUACUCUCUGAGCUAAGCCAGACUUGCAUUGAGGGGACGGGCAUGACGUCACACGGGGGCGGAGUCCUGACGUCACAGACUUCCGUUCCCGUAGUCGUGACUCAGACCCUCCAGCGCUUCCGCACAAAAAACAGCGCUCACAGAUCCUGCAGCGCUGUACACUCAAAUAGGUCCCUGUCCUCACUGAGAUUUAUAUACAUAAAAUAGUGCCUCCUGCUCCACCAUGGGAUCCUGGGGUCUACCUUGAAGUCAUCAGUGAAAGGUUUGAUGUAUAUAGCAA